UCCUGUCUCUCUGUCUCUCUCUCUCUCUCUCUCUUUCUAUUUCUCUGCGAUUCGUCUCGCCGAUCACGCGUUCGCGAGAGAAAGAGGACGGAUCCUCGAAGAGAUCGCAGGAUCGCCGCGUCUUACCUCGGAGAGUCGAGCUCGGCGGACACGCGCGCGUGUUUCCGAGAAAAUCGGAAGAAAGAAGAAGCGGACCGCGGCGAGGCGCGAGUUCAGCGAAGCCGCCGAUCGGGGGAGUUCCGAUCCCGCGAGCGGCGCUCGCAGUUGCGUGCGAGACGCCGUCGAGGUGACUACGUGCGAGGUGACCCGAGCGAGGUAGCGUUUUUCACGAGGCGCUCUCGUGUACUCUUACAUGUUUACGGAGAACUGAUCCGAUCGCCUGUCGCACACAUACACACACGUAUACACGCACAAGUCCGCGAUUAUUAUAUUCGUUUGGCAGCAAACAUAAUAAACGCGCGCGCGAACACACCGGUGACUUAAUCUUCUCGCAUCGAAACUCCUCGGUGUGCCCUGUGGUACGUUAUGUUUGCAUUUUUGUGAUCUGCAUUGUUUAUUUGUGUUCUUUUAACUGCGUUCGGAGAGAGUUUAUUUUGCGGUGGCUCGCAGGUGACUGCCGAUCUCCAUGACCGUUAGCGCGCGGUGAGAAAUCGCGCGAGAAGAAUCACCUCCGCGUAACGGUGAAAUCUCCAUUUUGAGGACGAUUCACACUCAUCACUCGGCGACAACUUGGAUAAAGCAGUGACGCAACCGCUCCUGUUCGCAAAGGAAGGAAAAGUUCGCGAUGACGGUGUAACGGCGCGGUUUCCAAGUCAAGCCUCACCUUGCCGUCUCAGCUAACGUCAUCUCUCUCUUUCUCUCUCACACCCGGUCUCGUCUCGUCGCUACUGACGCGUGUGUGCGUACGCGCGCGAUACCGCAAACGAACGGACGUACGAUGGUGUGCGUGAGAUCGCGCGUGCUGAUCGUUCACGGACUCGGCAGCAGCCUGUAGCAAACUGGUGGUGGUGGUGGUGGUGGUGGUGGUGGUAGUAGUGGUAUUCGUACAAAAGAAGACAGAGGAAAAGGGACCUGCUUUCUCGUCGCCGAAACGUUCCGACUGCACAAUGCAGCCCUUCAAAAAUUUAUCAAGGCGACGGAUCAUCAGCGAGAUAGGUGAGUAA